rnacentral:rRNA from 1 species
UGGUUGAUCCUGCCAGUAGCAUAUGCUUGUCUCAAAGAUUAAGCCAUGCAUGUCUAAGUACAAGCCUAACUAAGGUGAAACCGCGAAUGGCUCAUUAAAUCACACCUAAUCUACUGGAAUGUUAGCAGUUACUUGGAUAACUGAGGUAAUUCUUGAGCUAAUACAUGCGAAAAAUCUCGACUCACGGAGAGAUGCUUUUAUUAGAUCAAAACCAAACAGAUUCGUCUGUAUAUUUGGUGACUCGGAAUAACUUUGGGCUGAUCGCAUUGCCUUGUGCAGGCGACGUUUCCUUCGAAGGUGUGCCCUAUCAACUGUCGACUGUGAUAUAGACGCUCACAGUGGUUUUGACGGGUAACGGGGAAUCAGGGUUCGAUUCCGGAGAGGGAGCCUUAAAAACGGCUACCACAUCCAAGGAAGGCAGCAGGCACGCAAAUUACCCAAUGAACGAAGUUCGAGGUAGUGACGAAAAAUAACAAUACAAGACUCUUCNNGAG